rnacentral:snoRNA from 1 species
AUCAUCAGUAGUGGUUAAUACUAUCUCAAGAUAAUAUUAAUUACCAAAAUUUCAUAGAAACCGAAUGCUCCGUCCUUUUGAUAUUUAAAGCUUUGACGUGGUUUCUCUGGUGUGUCUUUCCGGGCGCAACAGACGCGUCAAAGCUGAGUUAAUACUGAUACCGGAUGGACGGAGCAGACUAUUCAACCCAUAGCUGAAUGAACGUUGACCGGCCCCAAACAAGCCGGGCACAAUGGUCAUUUCGUUUCCGGUUUCUUAGAUCAAAAUUUUUGCCAAGAAGAAGUCUGAGCCCUGGAUUCCGGGGCUCUGGUGAGCAUGUUUCCAGAGAGACGUAUAAUGCGUCUUGAGAGUUUGGAGUCUCUAAAGUGCCCUUCUUCUUGGUAAGACAGUC